rnacentral:rRNA from 1 species
UACGGAGGGUGCAAGCGUUAUCCGGAUUCACUGGGCUUAAAGGGUGCGUAGGCGGGCUGGUAAGUCAGUGGUGAAAUCUCCAGGCUUAACUUGGAAACUGCCAUUGAUACUAUCAGUCUUGAAUACCGUGGAGGUCAGCGGAAUAUGUCAUGUAGCGGUGAAAUGCUUAGAUAUGACAUAGAACACCAAUUGCGAAGGCAGCUGGCUACACGAAUAUUGACACUGAUGCACGAAAGCGUGGGGAGCAAACAGG